rnacentral:misc_RNA from 1 species
GAUGAAGGACGUAGCGAAAUGCGAUAACUAAUGUGAAUUGCAGAAUUCAGUGAAUCAUCGAGUCUUUGAACGCACAUUGCGCCCCCUGGUAUUCCGGGGGGCAUGCCUGUCCGAGCGUCAUUGCUGCCCUCAAGCACGGCUUGUGUGUUGGGCUCCGUCCCCCCGGGGACGGGCCCGAAAGGCAGCGGCGGCACCGAGUCCGGUCCUCGAGCGUAUGGGGCUUUGUCACCCGCUCUGUAGGCCCGGCCGGCGCCAGCCGACAACCCAUCAUCCUUUUCAGGUUGACCUCGGAUCAGGUAGGGAUACCCGCUGAACUUAAGCAUAUCAAUAAGCGGAGGA